CACACAGAAGGAACCGUCGACACUCGGCAUGGACGCGGAUCCCUCCUGUAAUUCCGAACGGGAACGAUUCACACGACAUGCAACAAUCCACGUGCUGCUGCACAGACUGUGCCGACAUCACUGUAGGACGGGCUGCGACACGUAGAGUUGGACUGCGCACAGCUCAGUCCAGAGGCUCGGCUCGUGGGGAGCGACAGAACGCACUUUGGCACAGGGAUGGGUUUUCACCUGCUGCACUGUGGGGGUGUCGCCGACCCACCGAAUCUCUCCCGGCUCCCCGAAGUGAAGCCCCCCGAGAAAUGUUCCCUGACGCACGAAACGCGCGGAGCUGCGCCAAAAAUGGCACCGGGCAAGUUGAAUUACUUAGUGUGUGGGUGGCGUGGCUAUUUGUGAUAUUUUUGUUUGUUGUUGUUGUUAUUAUUAUUAUCCAGGACGCAAAUAAUUCAACAUCUUUAACAGUCUGAAUGACGGCAACACACACACACACAGAAAAGAUGCGCACUUCCAAUUGAGGCAUCCCACUGAGGAUACAGAACCGAGUGACGGAGGAAAAUUCGGAUGAUCAACUCUCCAUCAUCCAAAAAAAAAGCCGAGGCUCGACAUCCAGCAGCGGCUGCAACGCAACAUUCGGCGGCCGUCCUCAUCACCGGAGGACGGCCCGCCGUGCCAAGUUUCGCCGGACUGCGCAUUCCAGGCGGCCCCGGUUCCUCCUUACCUCUCUCCUCGUCCGACGCCGUCGAGCGCUCGGCGCGCGGACAUAAUCCCGAGAACAGGGCUAGAAAGGCGAGCAGAAGGAAAUCGGACAUGUUUCCGGAGAGCGGGCUGAAAGAAGCCACGGCGGUGCUCCUCCUGCUCCUGCUCCUGCUCCUGGUCCGGGUCCUGGUCCGGGUCCAGUCUCCCCCCCCUCCUCCGCCGCCCUCGCCAACACCGCCCGGUUGGAAAGGCUGUUCGGUGGAUGUCCAGUGCGCAGAGAGCAGUGCAGCGCGCCCCCGGCUCCACGGCACAUGCACACACCGCCGCUCCGCACGGCCAACAGACGCACCGGAGACAGCAGGCGGGAGGGAUGGGGAAGGCGGGGUGGGAGUGUGGACGGAGAGGGAUACAGAGCGCGUACGUCGUCCCCCGGCCCCCCACCCCCCACCGUCGUCGUUUUUCUCAAUGAUUGAACGCAGUCGAGGUUGGCGCAGCUCGACGGAAAGAAGGUCCUCCACUCCUGAUCUGUUGCCAGCGCAGGCCUCCUCCCUUGAGUAUUUAGAUCAAGAUACUUCAGCGAAGAGUAAUUCUUCAAGUACUGUCUUCUUUCUGGACCACAUGGACAGCUGUCUGUCGACUCUACGUGCCCUCAGGGGGAGGCGUCUGGCCCGAGGAAGUAAAAUUCUUGCACAGCUGCUGCUGGACUUUUACUUACAGUUCUGGACUUUGACUUCACUUACUGCUGUAGUUCAUAGACCCUUGCUGCAGUUUAUGAAUUUUUUAACAAUUACAAGUUCAUGGAUUUUGUUUCACUCACGGCUACGGUUUUUCUUGCCUCAUGUUUACUGCUUGACUCCUCGCUGUGUCCUUGAGAAUGUGAGUACUCGGCGUGUUGUAUGAAUUAUGUGUCGUUUUAAUAUACAGUCAGAGCAGCCGUCACCA
rnacentral:lncRNA from 1 species